AUACGGAGGUUGCAAGCGUUAAUCGGAAUUACUGGGCGUAAAGCGUACGUAGGCGGUUCGUUAAGUUAGAUGUGAAAGCCCCGGGCUUAACCUGGGAACUGCAUUUAAAACUGGCGAACUAGAGUUGAGUAGAGGGGAGUGGAAUUUCAGGUGUAGCGGUGAAAUGCGUAGAGAUCUGAAGGAACACCAGUGGCGAAGGCGACUCCCUGGACUCAAACUGACGCUGAGGUACGAAAGCGUGGGUAGCAAACGGGAUUAGAAACCCUAGUAGUCC
rnacentral:rRNA from 1 species